rnacentral:rRNA from 1 species
GAUGAACGCUGGCGGCGUGCCUAAUACAUGCAAGUCGAGCGAACGGACGAGAAGCUUGCUUCUCUGAUGUUAGCGGCGGACGGGUGAGUAACACGUGGAUAACCUACCUAUAAGACUGGGAUAACCUCGGGAAACCGGAGCUAAUACCGGAUGAUAUUUUGAACCGCAUGGUUCAAAAGUGAAAGACGGUCUUGCUGUCACUUAUAGAUGGAUCCGCGCUGCAUUAGCUAGUUGGUAAGGUAACGGCUUACCAAGGCAACGAUGCAUAGCCGACCCGAGAGGGUGAUCGGCCACACUGGAACUGAGACACGGUCCAGACUCCUACGGGAGGCAGCAGUAGGGAAUCUUCCGCAAAGGGCGAAAGCCUGACGGAGCAACGCCGCGUGAGUGAUGAAGGUCUUCGGAUCGUAAAACUCUGUUAUUAGGGAAGAACAUAUGUGUAAGUAACUGUGCACAUCUUGGCGGUACCUAAUCAGAAAGCCACGGCUAACUACGUG